AACUCCGUGGCUCAAUGGUUAAAGCGUUUAACUUCUGUUCAACGGGUAGUGGAUUCGAUCCUCCGGUGUUG
rnacentral:tRNA from 1 species